rnacentral:rRNA from 1 species
UACGUAGGGUGCGAGCGUUAAUCGGAAUUACUGGGCGUAAAGUGUGCGCAGGCGGCCGCGCAAGUCGAGUGUGAAAUCCCCGAGCUUAACUUGGGAAUUGCGCUCGAAACUACGUGGCUGGAGUGUGGCAGAGGAAGGUGGAAUUCCACGUGUAGCGGUGAAAUGCGUAGAGAUCUGGAGGAACACCGAUGGCGAAGGCAGCCCCCUGGGCUAACACUGACGCUCAUGCACGAAAGCGUGGGGAGCAAACAGG